GGACUACCGGGGUAUCUAAUCCCGUUCGCUCCCCUGGCUUUCGCGCCUCAGCGUCAGAAAUGGUCCAGCACCUCGCCUUCGCCACCGGAGUUCCUAGCGAUAUCAACGCAUUUCACCGCUCCACCGCUAGUUCCAGAUGCCCCUACCAUCCUCGAGACAACCAGUAUCCGAGGCACUUCUCCAGUUAAGCUGGAGGCUUUCACCCCGGACUUGGUCGUCCGCCUACGCGCCCUUUAAGCCCAGUGAUUCCGAACAACGUUCGCACGGUUCGUCUUACCGCGGCUGCUGGCAC
rnacentral:rRNA from 3 species